GCGGCGGCGACGCGCCUGCGGAAGGCUGGGGAGGGGGCGCCGCGCAGGCCCACUCGGGGGCCCGGGCUCGGCGGGUGCUGCCCGCAUCCCUCCGGGGCCGCGGGCGCCAGGGAUGCGCAGGGCCGCGCCUCCUCCACACUCGAGGAAUGAGCCGCUUUGAAACCGCAGCAGAGGUACCGUUGCAAAAAAAAAAAAAAAAGUUGUCUUCCUGCCAAACUACCUGAAGGCUACUGGAAGAGGGAGACGCGUGGGAUCCAGAAGCACUCUUAAGAGUGUGAUGAGGAAGCCCCAGAAUGAAGGCUUCCCACACCCAGAAAAGUCUGAAACUCCACACGCUCCAAGGCACCCUGCCUUUCUCUCUCUCGGGCUGCCUCCCUGAUGCCGCCACAGCCCGCUGACAGAACGGGCGACAAAAACCUUCCCUUCCUCCUCCUGCAGCAGAACCGAUUAAACAAGAGAAAAGGUGGAAAGAUUCACACCAAACUGUCAUCACUGCGAAGGAUGGGAGGGAGAGGAGUGUGGUCUGGAGCGACUGGACACAGAAGUGCAAGCCUCAGGAAGGAUGUCUGGGACAGAGGCUGACUUGGGAGUCAUCGGAGCACAGGCAGAAGCAGACCGUCCACUGGCUGAACGUGCCGGCACGUCAGCAGCGGCAGCGGCUUUGGGCGCUUCCUGGGACGGACCAUCUCUGCUCAGAGAGGAGCCAAAAGGAAAGAACCCAUGAAGGAGGAGUCAGAGAGGUUCAAAGAGGGUGUUUUCAUGGAAGCCAAGGAGAGAGAGUUCCAAGGAGGAAGAAAUGACUAGCGGCAAACACGGGUUAAAGGGCUCCAGUCCUCGUCCGCCGCUGACAAGCUGUGUGAGGGUGGGCAGGGUGCUCCACGUCUCUGUUCCUCACUUUCACCAUGUGUGAAAGGCGCACAGCGUCGCAGCUGCCUCACAGGACUGUUGUGGGGAUGAAAUGAGCUAAGAGUGCUUAGCACAGAUCCUGGCACACGGGAGAGGUGAUUGCUGGUGAGUGUUUGACCCGUUGUCAUGGGAAGAUCAAGUAAGACGACCUGAAACGCCUUUGGAUUCGGGAGUGAUUUGUCAUCCCAUUAGUAUCUGAGUCCCUUCUGUAUGUCAGGCAAGGAGGACAGAGUCAUGAACGAAUUUGCCCUCAGUGGAACUGAAGUGCCUCCAAAUAGCAUGUGUUGAAUGCGGAGUGUGUGUGCCAUUCUCGUCACCUGACAAGCAUUACCCCACUCGUUCCUCACAGUCACCCUAGGAUGCAGGUGCACAGUUACACCCAUUUUGCAGAUGGGAACAAUGAGUAGCACAGGGGGCUGGGCACAGCUUCCGGGGCCGGGAGGUGGCAGAGGCAGGCUGUGCACUGAGCUGGCCUGGCUCUGGGGAACGCCUCCUGCACCUGUGCCUCGUGCUUUCUCCAGGUGGCUGUGGGUGACCUCAGACAUAGUGGCUGUGGAAGCAACGGGGCGGGGAGCGGGGGCAGGGGGUGGACCUUAUCCAGACCGCGGCAAGAUGAGCACUGAAUGGAGAGCUUGUUAAUCGAGAAAGAUUGAAAGCAUUUCCACAGAGAAGCAAAGUAACAAGGUCCAGGCAUGUGGAUUUGUUUUAUCUGUAUGGCAGAGUGAGAAUAAACACCAAAGGAUGGGCUAGUAAGAGUGAUCUCUGGUCAGGUCUGCCUCAGAUACCUGUUCCUUUGCAAUGAGCUGAAUGGCAGUUCAAGACCAAGGUGUCUAGUGAACGCUUGAAGGAUGUAUGUUUGGUGCUGUUUAUUGAAGCAAGGUCAAUACACUUUAUUUUUUCUUUUCUGUUAGAGGAGGUACUAGGGCUUGAACUCAGGACCUUGUGCAUGCUAAGCAUGCACUCUAGCACUGAGCUAUACGCCCUACCCCAGUGAUUUAAAUAUCAGAUCCACAUGUGACAGAAUCGCAAUUUACUACAAAAUUCAAAGAAGAUGAAAUGUAUUCUCAACCGAAUUUGAGAUCACUAAAGGUUGCCGAGGAGAGAUCAGAAUGUUUUGGUAAAUGUAAAAAAAUCUGAAGAGCUGUCUGACCUUUUCUUGGUCUGGUUCUGAAUUAGUAAGUAGGUCCCAGGAAUCUGCACUGUUAGCACACACCUCAGUCGUUCUGAUGCACAAUAAACUUUAAGAAUUCA